UAGGGAAUCUUCCACAAUGGACGAAAGUCUGAUGGAGCAACGCCGCGUGAGUGAAGAAGGUUUUCGGAUCGUAAAACUCUGUUGUUGGAGAAGAACGUAUUUGAUAGUAACUGAUCAGGUAGUGACGGUAUCCAACCAGAAAGCCACGGCUAACUACGUGCCAGCAGCCGCGGUAAUACGUAGGUGGCAAGCGUUGUCCGGAUUUAUUGGGCGUAAAGCGAGCGCAGGCGGUUUCUUAAGUCUGAUGUGAAAGCCUUCGGCUCAACCGAAGAAGUGCAUCGGAAACUGGGAAACUUGAGUGCAGAAGAGGACAGUGGAACUCCAUGUGUAGCGGUGAAAUGCGUAGAUAUAUGGAAGAACACCAGUGGCGAAGGCGGCUGUCUGGUCUGUAACUGACGCUGAGGCUCGAAAGCAUGGGUAGCAAACAGGAUUAGAUACCCCCGUAGUCC
rnacentral:rRNA from 1 species